rnacentral:rRNA from 1 species
AGAUUGAACGCUGGCGGCAUGCCUUACACAUGCAAGUCGAACGGCAGCACGGGAGCAAUCCUGGUGGCGAGUGGCGAACGGGUGAGUAAUAUAUCGGAACGUGCCCAACAGUGGGGGAUAGCCCGGCGAAAGCCGGAUUAAUACCGCAUGUGACCUGAGGGUGAAAGCGGGGACCUGCAAGGGCCUCG